UGAGAGAGAGAGAGAGAGAGAGAGAGAGAAAGUGGGGGGAGAGGUGGAGGGAGAGAAUCUCAAGCAGACUCCACAAGUGCAGAGGCUCAAUCUUAUGACCUUGAAAUGAUGACCUGAGCCAAAAUCAACAAUUGGACACUUAACCAACUGAGCCACCCACACACCCCACUUAGUUACUUUCAAAAAAGGUUUUCUUAAAAAAAGAAAAAAGUCUUGUAUGUUUAUCCACAUGGUUACCAUUUCCAGUCCUCUUGAAGCAUUUGUAGAGAUUCAAAUUUUCAGCUGGUAUCUGUAUUUUUAUUUAAACACAUAUAAUAAAAAAAUAUAGUAAACACAUAUAAUAAACCCCAUAAUAAUUGUGAUUAGUCUUAUUGGCACUGUCAGUUAUCUUUUUGUAAAGUUAAAUAAGGGAUCCCUGGGUGGCGCAGCGGUAUAGCGCCUGCCUUUGGCCCAGGGCACGAUCCUGGAGACCCGGGAUCGAAUCCCACGUUGGGCUCCCGGUGCAUGGAGCUUGCUUCUCCCUCUGCCUAUGUCUCUGCCUCUCUCUGUGUGACUAUCAUAAAUAAAUAAAAAUUUUAAAAAAAGAAAGUUAAAUAAUAGACAAAGAUAUAUGUUAUUGAUCCAUGUAGUUAUCAUUUCCAGUGCCCUUUUUCAUUCUUUUGUCUGGAUAUUAAUUUCCAACAGGUUUAAUUUUCUUUCUGCCUGGAGGACUUUCUUUAAUAUUUAUUGUAAGAUAGGCCUCUAUCUUACAAUGAUAAAUUAGGAUAAAUGCUUUCAGAUUCUGGAUGUCUGAAAAAGUCUAUUUUACUUUCAUUUUUGGAGAACUGCUAGGUAUAUAGGCUGAUUUUUCCCCCCUUUAUUUCAAUAAUGUUACUCCACUGUCUUUGGCUUGUAUGGUUUACAGCAAGGAAUUUGCAGUCAAUGUUAUUUUGUUCUUCUGUACAUGGUUUUGUUUUUAUUUUUUCUGGCUACUUUUGUUUUCUUUUCUAUCUUGUUUUAAGUAAGUGAUUAUGAUAUGCCUUGGUGUAGUUUUCUUUAUGUAUUUUGUGUUUAAGAUUUAUUGAACUUGGAGCAACUGGGUGGGUCAGUAGUUUGGGUGUCUGACUCUUGAUUUCAGCUCAGGUCAUGAUCUCAGGGUCAAGGGACCCUGAGUCAGGUUCUACCCUGGGCAUGGAGCCUGCUUGGGGAUCUCUUUCUCCCUCUCCUUAUGCCCCUUCCCCAUCUCUCUCUCUCUCUCUCAAAAAAAAAAAAAAAGAAUUAUUGAACUUUCUGGAUCUGGGAACUUAAAGUUUUCAUCAAAUUUGGAAAAUGUCCAGCCAUUAUUUCUUCAAAUAUUUUUUCUGCCAUUUGCCUUUUCUUUCCUUUUGGGGCUCUAAUUACACAUAUAUUGUGCUGCUUUAAAUUUUCCUACAGCUCACUGACAUUCUAUGGGUUUGCUCUAAAUGUUUCAUUUUGGAUAGUUUCUAUUCUAAAUGUUUACUAACCUUUUCUUCUGUAAUACCUAAUCUGCUGUUAAUCUGAUCCAGCAAAUUUUUCAUCUCAGGCAUUAUAACUAUUAUAAUGACUGUUUUAAUGAUCUUGUUUUCUAAGGGUGCCUGGGUGGCUCAAUUUGUUAAGGGUCUGACUCUUGAUUUCAGCUAGGUCAUGAUCUAAGGGUUGUGAGAUCAAAUCCCAUGUUGAGGUCCAUGCUCAGAGCAGAGUCUGCUUGACAUUCUCUCCUUCUCUCUGCCCUUGCUCCCAUUUACGCUCUCUCUCUCUCUCUCUAAAAUAAAUAAAUAAAAUCUUUUUUUAAAAAAUCUUAUUUUCUAAUUCCAUCUUCUGUAUCAUUUCUGAGUCAGUUUCAUUUAAUUAACUCUGCUUUCCUCAUUACAGGCUAUGUUUUCCAGUUGAUCGGUAUAUCUAUACGUUUUGAUUGGAUGUUAGGUAUUGUAUAUUUUACUAUGUUUGCUGUUGAAUAUUUUAUUUUUCUGUAAAUAUGCUGUAUCUUUUUUUUGCAAUCCAGUUAAAUUGCUUGGAAAUAAUCUGAUCCUCUCUAGUGUUGUGUUUGUUUAUUUCGUUGGUGUCAGAGCAACAUUUAAGACUAAUACUUCCCCACUACUCAAGCAAAAACCUUCUGAAGACUAUAUCUGAUGCUUCAUGAAUUAAGAAGUUUGGCACCCUGACAGUCCCAGCUUUGUCUUCUCAGUUCAGAGGUGUUACAAAAUUCUGCCUGGGUCUGCUUCCUUGCAUUAAAGGAGAGUUCCUCAGAAACUGUCUCCUGAAUGCCUCGUGAGGGCAUGCCUGAUUGCCAGAAUCUAGAUCAUGUGACUGUACCAUAGUUGGCUGAGGUCUGUAAUUGUAUGGAUUUUCUGGCUUCUGCCUUGGGAAGCGGAGAUUCAUAACAUGGAACACAGCAAGACUAUAUCUGCUCAAUUUACUCCAACGAGAUGCAGCAUGUAAAUAAGUCCCAGUUACUCUUGACAGAAGCAUGUAUCCCACCUCUGAGCCUGGGCCACUGAAACCUUUACUGUAUUCCUUGCCAGGUGGAUGCAGAAGAUUCAGAGAGACAUUAAGAGAUAGCAGGGCCCCAAGAGACAUGAGCAGACAGUUCUCCAAAGAAGACAUCCAGAUGGCCAACAGAUACAUGGAAAGACGUUCAACAUCACUAAUCACUAGGGAAAUGCAAACCCAAACUACAAUGAGAUAUCACUUCACUCCUGUCAGAAUGGCUAAAAUCAACAACAUAAGAAACAACAGGUGUUGGCCAGGAUGUGGAGAAAAAGGAACCCUCAUGCACUGUUGGGGAUAAUGCAAACCGGUGCAGCCACUCUUGGAAAACAGUAUGAAGCUUUCUCAAGAGCUUAAAAAUAGAACUAUUCCAUGAUCCAGUAAUUGCAGUACUAGGUAUUUACCCCCGAAAUAAAAAAACACUAAUUCCAAGGGAUACAUGCAUCCCUAUGUUUAUUGCAACAUUAUUUACAAUAAUCAAACUAUGGAAGCAGCCCAAGUGUCAUCUAUUGAUAGAUGAAUGGAUACAUGAAUGGAUAAGACAGUGUAGUGUGUAUACAUACAAUGGAAUAUUACUCAGCAAUAAAAAAGAAUGAAAUGUC